AAACGAACCAAACCAAUUACAACGGAGUGGAGUUCUGGUUGAGCCCUGAGCGAACUGGCUGGCUAAUGAAGCAGGGAGAGUACAUCAAAACCUGGAGACGCCGUUGGUUCGUUCUCAAACAAGGCAAGCUAUUCUGGUUCAAGGACUCCAUAGUCACUCGCGAGUCGAAGCCACGCGGCGUCAUCCCAGUGGCCACGUGCCUUACAGUGAAAGGAGCUGAAGACGUUCUCAACAAACAAUACGCUUUUGAGCUUUCGACGAGGACGGAUACUAUGUAUUUCAUCGCCGAUUCGGAGAAGGAGAAAGAGGACUGGAUCAACUCGAUCGGACGGUCUAUAGUGCAGCACUCGAGAUCCGUGACGGAUUCAGAGAUAGUUGAUUAUGAUAACAAGCGAU
rnacentral:misc_RNA from 1 species